rnacentral:rRNA from 1 species
AAAUUGAAGAGUUUGAUCAUGGCUCAGAUUGAACGCUGGCGGCAGGCCUAACACAUGCAAGUCGAGCGGAAACGACACUAACAAUCCUUCGGGUGCGUUAAUGGGCGUCGAGCGGCGGACGGGUGAGUAAUGCCUAGGAAAUUGCCUUGAUGUGGGGGAUAACCAUUGGAAACGAUGGCUAAUACCGCAUGAUGCCUACGGGCCAAAGA